AUUGAACGCUGGCGGAAUGCUUUACACAUGCAAGUCGAGCGGCAGCGCGGGGGCAACCCUGGCGGCGAGCGGCGAACGGGUGAGUAACAUAUCGGAACGUACCCAGUCGUGGGGGAUAACUAUCCGAAAGGAUAGCUAAUACCGCAUACGUCCUGAGGGAGAAAGCGGGGGAUCGCAAGACCUCGCGCGAUUGGAGCGGCCGAUAUCGGAUUAGCUAGUUGGUGGGGUAAAGGCUCACCAAGGCGACGAUCCGUAGCGGGUCUGAGAGGACGACCCGCCACACUGGAACUGAGACACGGUCCAGACUCCUACGGGAGGCAGCAGUGGGGAAUAUUGGUCAAUGGGCGAAAGCCUGAACCAGCCAUCCAGCGUGCAGGAAGAAGGCCCUAUGGGUUGUAAACUGCUUUUAUCAGGGAAGAAACCUCUGGAUUUACUCCGGAGCUGACGGUACCUGAAGAAUAAGCACCGGCUAACUCCGUGCCAGCAGCCGCGGUAAAGUGUG
rnacentral:rRNA from 1 species